GAUGAACGCUGGCGGCGUGCCUAACACAUGCAAGUCGAGCGGAGAUUAUUAGCAAUAGUAAUCUUAGCGGCGGACGGGUGAGUAACGCGUGGGUAACCUGCCUUGUACAGGGGGAUAACACAGGGAAACUUGUGCUAAUACCGCAUAACAUACUUGGGUGGCAUCACUUGAGUAUCAAAGGAGCAAUCCGGUAUAAGAUGGACCCGCAUGCAAUUAGCUAGUUGGUGGUGUAACGGACCACCAAGGCGACGAUUGGUAGCCGAACUGAGAGGUGGAUCGGCGACAUUGGGACAGAGACACGGCCCAGACUCCUACGGGAGGCAGCAGUGGGGAAUAUUGCGCAAUGGGGGAAACCCUGACGCAGCAACGCCGCGUGAAGGAUGAAGGUUUUCGGAUCGUAAACUUCUUAGAUGAGGGAAGAAUAAUGACGGUACCUCAAAAACAAGCCACGGCUAACUACGUGCCAGCAGCCGCCGAAGUAA
rnacentral:rRNA from 1 species